CCAAAGGUAACCAGGGGAAGAAAGGUUUAUUUCACUUACAAGUUUCAGUUCAUCGUUGCGGGAAGCCGAGGCAGGAGCUCAAAGCAGGCGGCAACUGGAGCAGAGCCCACCAAGAAACUGCUUACAGGGUUGUUUUUCAAGGAUUUCUCAGCUUGCUUUCAUUUGCAACUCAGGACAACCAGGGACACCAUCCACAGUGAGCCGGAUCCUCCCACAGCAAUCAUCAAUCAGGAGAAUUCGCCCCUAGAUCAAUCUGGUGGAGGCAAUUCCCCAACUGAGGUUCCCCCUUCCCAAGUAGCUCUGGUCUGUGUCAAGUUGACAACCAAAGAUGAACCAGAACAGGAAGUUCCCAAUGCAACCAUGCUGAGGGUAGUGUCUUUUGGAAGUAAUUAAGUUGCAAGGACUCAUUGAAAUCACAAACAUGGACUGUGUUCAUUAAUGUCCGGGGGAGAUCCGUCUGAAGGCUGAAUUCUGCUCCCUCCACAUCCCUAUCUCUGGCCCAAUGUCUUCUGCCAUGUUAUAAUGCAGAAAAGGGCCCUGGUUAGAAAUUGAACUUCUUAGCUUCCAGAACUACUUUUCAAAUGAAUGUCAUUGUUUUGACAAGAGGGUGACAAGACAACUUGAAGAAGAUUUACUUUGGCUCUUGGUUGGAAGGGAUACAGUGCAUCAUUCAGGGGACAAGGCAAGCAUGUGAGGCAGCUGCUCACAGAUUUCACAGGCUCCAUGACACAUACCUUCUGGACCAGCACCAGGGGC
rnacentral:lncRNA from 1 species